UACGUAGGUGGCAGGCGUUGUCCGGAUUUAUUGGGUUUAAAGGGUGCGUAGGCGGCUUUGUAAGUCAGUGGUGAAAUAUGGCAGCUCAACUGUCAAGGUGCCAUUGAUACUGCGGAGCUUGAGUACAGAUGAGGUAGGCGGAAUUGACGGUGUAGCGGUGAAAUGCUUAGAUAUCGUCAAGAACACCUAUAGCGAAGGCAGCUUACUAGGCUGUAACUGACGCUGAGGCACGAAAGUGUGGGGAUCAAACAGG
rnacentral:rRNA from 1 species